CCUACGGGAGACUGCAGUGAGGAAUAUUGGUCAAUGGUCGGGAGACUGAACCAGCCAAGCCGCGUGAGGGAGGAAGGUACAGAGUAUCGUAAACCUCUUUUGUCAGGGAACAAAGACUGGGACGCGUCCCCGGAUGAGUGUACCUGAAGAAAAAGCAUCGGCUAACUCCGUGCCAGCAGCCGCGGUAAUACGGAGGAUGCGAGCGUUAUCCGGAUUUAUGGGGUUUAAAGGGUGCGCAGGCGGUCUGUUAAGUCAGCGGUCAAAGCCCGGGGCUCAACCCCGGCCCGCCGUUGAAACUGGCAGUCUCGAGUUGGAGAGAAGUAGGCGGAAUGCGCGGUGUAGCGGUGAAAUGCAUAGAUAUCGCGCAGAACUCCGAUUGCGAAGGCAGCAUGCCGGCUCCACACUGACGCUGAGGCACGAAAGCGUGGGUAUCGAACAGGAUUAGAUACCCCAGUAGUC
rnacentral:rRNA from 1 species